rnacentral:rRNA from 1 species
AGUGAACGCUGGCGGUAGGCCUAACACAUGCCAGUCGAACGGCAGCACAGUAAGAGCUUGCUCUUACGGGUGGCGAGUGGCGGACGGGUGAGGAAUACAUCGGAAUCUACUUUUUCGUGGGGGAUAACGUAGGGAAACUUACGCUAAUACCGCAUACGACCUACGGGUGAAAGCAGGGGAUCUUCGGACCUUGCGCGAUUGAAUGAGCCGAUGUCGGAUUAGCUAGUUGGCGGGGUAAAGGCACACCAAGGCGACGCUCCGUAGCUGGUCUGAGAGGAUGAUCAGCCACACUGGAACUGAGACACGGUCCAGACUCCUACGGGAGGCAGCAGUGGGGAAUAUUGGACAAUGGGCGCAAGCCUGAUCCAGCCAUACCGCGUGGGUGAAGAAGGCCUUCGGGUUGUAAAGCCCUUUUGUUGGGAAAGAAAAGCAGCAGGUUAAUACCCCGCUGUUCUGACGGUACCCAAAGAAUAAGCACCGGCUAACUUCGUG